rnacentral:rRNA from 1 species
UCGAUUUGGAGUUUGUUGCCUAGAGUGAUGGGCUCCGAAGCUAACGCGAUAAAUCGACCGCCUGGGGAGUACGGCCGCAAGGUUAAAACUCAAAUGAAUUGACGGGGGCCCGCACAAGCGGUGGAGCAUGUGGUUUAAUUCGAUGCAACGCGAAGAACCUUACCUGGUCUUGACAUCCACAGAAUCUUGCAGAGAUGCGAGAGUGCCUUCGGGAACUGUGAGACAGGUGCUGCAUGGCUGUCGUCAGCUCGUGUUGUGAAACGUUGGGUUAAGUCCCGCAACGAGCGCAACCCUUAUCCUUUGUUGCCAGCGGUUCGGCCGGGAACUCAAAGGAGACUGCCGUUGAUAAAGCGGAGGAAGGUGGGGACGACGUCAAGUCAUCAUGGCCCUUACGACCAGGGCUACACACGUGCUACAAUGGCGUAUACAAAGGGAGGCGACCUCGCGAGAGCAAGCGGACCUCACAAAGUACGUCUAAGUCCGGAUUGGAGUCUGCAACUCGACUCCAUGAAGUCGGAAUCGCUAGUAAUCGUGAAUCAGAAUGUCACGGUGAAUACGUUCCCGGGCCU